rnacentral:tRNA from 2 species
GGGCCCGUAGCUCAGCAAGGUUCAGAGCGGCAGGCUCCAGACCUGUUGGUCGGGGGUUCAAGUCCCUCCGGGCCCA